rnacentral:rRNA from 1 species
CCUACGGGUGGCAGCAGUGAGGAAUAUUGGUCAAUGGGCGCGAGCCUGAACCAGCCAAGUAGCGUGAAGGAUGACUGCCCUACGGGUUGUAAACUUCUUUUAUAAAGGAAUAAAGUGAGGCACGUGUGCCUUUUUGUAUGUACUUUAUGAAUAAGGAUCGGCUAACUCCGUGCCAGCAGCCGCGGUAAUACGGAGGAUCCGAGCGUUAUCCGGAUUUAUUGGGUUUAAAGGGAGCGUAGAUGGGUUGUUAAGUCAGGUGUGAAAGUUCGCGGCUCAACCGUAGAAUUGCAAUUGAUACUGGCAGUCUUGAGUACAGUAGAGGUGGGCGGAAUUCGUGGUGUAGCGGUGAAAUGCUUAGAGAUCACGAAGAACACCGAUUGCGAAGGCAGCUCACUGGACUUCAACUGACACUGAUGCUCGAAAGUGUGGGGAUCAAACAGGAUUAGAUACCCUAGUAGUC